rnacentral:rRNA from 1 species
CCUACGGGAGGCAGCAGUGGGGAAUAUUGGGCAAUGGGCGCAAGCCUGACCCAGCAACGCCGCGUGAAGGAAGAAGGCUUUCGGGUUGUAAACUUCUUUUCUCAGGGACGAAGAAAGUGACGGUACCUGAGGAAUAAGCCACGGCUAACUACGUGCCAGCAGCCGCGGUAAUACGUAGGUGGCAAGCGUUGUCCGGAAUCAUUGGGCGUAAAGAGUUCGUAGGUGGCACGUUAAGUCUGGUGUUAAAGGCGGAAGCUCAACUUCCGUAGGGCACUGGAUACUGGCGAGCUUGAAUGCGGUAGAGGUAAAGGGAAUUCCUGGUGUAGCGGUGAAAUGCGUAGAUAUCAGGAGGAACAUCGGUGGCGUAAGCGCUUUACUGGGCCGUAAUUGACACUGAGGAACGAAAGCCGGGGUAGCAAAUGGGAUUAGAUACCCCAGUAGUC